UAUCCUCACAUGGGUUCUCUUAUCACUGCUAUGCUGAUGAUACACAACUUAUCCUCUCCUUCCCUCCUUCAGACACAACUGCUUCUGCUCGGAUCUCAGCAUGUCUGGCAGACAUAUCAUCGUGGAUUGCAGCUCAUCAGCUAAAAACUCAAUCCCAGCAAAACCAAACUGCUGUUCAUCCCAGGUGAUUCAUCCCCAUGUCAGGAUCGUGCAAUCUCCCUGGACAACGAGGGAGUCGCUGCCUAAUAUAUCCCACCCCUUGACAGGUGCCUCUGUACGAGAUGUUAUGGCUGAUCAAUAUAUAUAUUUUACGCUAUCUGGAUUUUACGCUCUAUCUGGAUUUUCACGUUAUCCGUUUCUCUGGUUUCCUCUCACCUCCCAAAAAACAUGCCAUCAUGCUAAGCUAGCUCUUGGUGAGGAUGAGCGUUCACACCCACUGAUCCCAGGAUAGACUUCCAGGAUAAAACCAGGAUAAAGAGUUUACUGAAGAUGAGUGAAUGAAUAAAAUGUUUAUUUGUUAUAAUGUAUUAUAAAUAUAGUGUAUAGGGCUUAUACCUGCAUUCAGACUACAUUUAUGAUACAUUAUAACCAUGUUUCAGCUUUAAAGAUGCCACGGUGUAAACAAAGCUAUUGGCCAAAACACUUGAUCCGACAUGCUGAUUGGCCAGCACAUGGAAGGGGCGGGACUUUCCUGUAGACCUGCCUUUAGUUGGCGCGUGUGCAGGUCUUCAACGUGGCAGGAGCUUCAGAAGAGUGCAGCACUGUUUAAUCUGGUGACCCGGGAGAGGAACUACAGGCAGAAGAACAAAGACACGCUGGGAGUCUCAGAUACACAGAAGAUGAGCUCAGAAAAACCAGAAAAACCA